AUGUGAAUUCAACAUUAAUAUUAUAAUAUUUAUUUAUAAAUAUUAUGAAAAUAGUGUGCAAUUUUUCCAUAUAAGGACAUUGUAAUCUGUUAAUGUAAUAAAUAUUUAUCAUAAGAUUCAAUAAUAAAAAGUUUAUUCAAAUUAGUUAUUUUCGAAUUUCUAACAUAGAAUAAAUUUAAUUGAAUUUGAUAAAUCAUUGACAGAUUUAUUUAUAUAUAAUGCUAAAAUUCUUAAUUGAAUUUUACAAUAAUUAUUAAUUUUAUUUUCAUUUAAUUUUUUAUUGUAUGCAUUUAUAUGAUUAACAAUGCUAUAGAUUCAGGAUACCUUCGGGACCCGUCUUGAAACACGGACCAAGGAGUCUAACAUAUGUGCAAGUCAUUGGGUAUUUUUAAUAAAACCCAAUGGCGUAAUUAACUUAACUGUAAAUGGGAUUAGUUUAUAUUUUAUAAUGAAAUAUUAAUUCAAUCCCGGGGCGUUCUAUAUAGUUAUGUAUAAUAAUAUUUAUAUUAUUUAUACCUCUAACUAGAGCGUACCUUCAGCAUAUAUGCUGU
rnacentral:rRNA from 1 species